AGUGAACGCUGGCGGUAGGCCUAACACAUGCAAGUCGAACGGCAGCACAGUAAGAGCUUGCUCUUACGGGUGGCGAGUGGCGGACGGGUGAGGAAUACAUCGGAAUCUACUUUUUCGUGGGGGAUAACGUAGGGAAACUUACGCUAAUACCGCAUACGCCCUACGGGUGAAAGCAGGGGAUCUUCGGACCUUGCGCGAUUGAAUGAGCCGAUGUCGGAUUAGCUAGUUGGCGGGGUAAAGGCCCACCAAGGCGACGAUCCGUAGCUGGUCUGAGAGGAUGAUAAGCCACACUGGAACUGAGACACGGUCCAGACUCCUACGGGAGGCAGCAGUGGGGAAUAUUAGACAAUGGGCGCAAGCCUGAUCCAGCCAUACCGCGUGGGUGAAGAAGGCCUUCGGGUUGUAAAGCCCUUUUGUUGGGAAAGAAAAGCAGCAGGUUAAUACCCCGCUGUUCUGACGGUACCCAAAGAAUAAGCACCGGCUAACUUCGUG
rnacentral:rRNA from 1 species